rnacentral:rRNA from 1 species
UACGGAGGGGACUAGCGUUGUUCGGAAUUACUGGGCGUAAAGCGCACGUAGGCGGAUUUGUAAGUCAGGGGUGAAAUCCCGGGGCUCAACCUCGGAACUGCCCUUGAUACUGCAAAUCUCGAGUCCGGAAGAGGUGAGUGGAAUUCCUAGUGUAGAGGUGAAAUUCGUAGAUAUUAGGAAGAACACCAGUGGCGAAGGCGGCUCACUGGUCCGGUACUGACGCUGAGGUGCGAAAGCGUGGGGAGCAAGCAGG